rnacentral:rRNA from 1 species
UACGUAGGGAGCAAGCGUUGUCCGGAAUCAUUGGGCGUAAAGCGCGCGUAGGCAGUCCGGUAAGUCCGCUGUGAAAGUCGGGGGCUCAACCCUCGAAUGCCGGUGGAUACUGUCGGGCUAGAGUGCAGAAGGGGCAACUGGAAUUCUCGGUGUAGCGGUGAAAUGCGUAGAUAUCGAGAGGAACACCUGAGGUGAAGACGGGUUGCUGGGCUGACACUGACGCUGAAGCGCGAAAGCUAGGGUAGCAAACGGG